rnacentral:rRNA from 2 species
CCCACUGAACCUGCGGAAGGAUCAUU